UACAUGGGGUGCAAACGUUGCUCGGAAUUAUUGGGCGUAAAGGGCGCGUAGGCGGCCAUGCGUGUCUUCCGUGAAAUCCCUCGGCUUAACUGAGGACGUGCGGAAGAAACUGCAAGGCUCGAGUCCGGGAGAGGGGGGUGGAAUUCCCAGUGUAGCGGUGAAAUGCGUAGAUAUUGGGAGGAACACCGGUGGCGAAGGCGGCCCCCUGGACCGGUACUGACGCUGAGGCGCGAAAGCGUGGGUAGCAAACGGG
rnacentral:rRNA from 1 species